rnacentral:rRNA from 1 species
GGGGAAUUUUGGACAAUGGGCGCAAGCCUGAUCCAGCCAUGCCGCGUGCGGGAAGAAGGCCUUCGGGUUGUAAACCGCUUUUGUCAGGGAAGAAAUCCUUUGGGUUAAUACCUCGGAGGGAUGACGGUACCUGAAGAAUAAGCACCGGCUAACUACGUGCCAGCAGCCGCGGUAAUACGUAGGGUGCAAGCGUUAAUCGGAAUUACUGGGCGUAAAGCGUGCGCAGGCGGUUUUGUAAGACAGAGGUGAAAUCCCCGGGCUCAACCUGGGAACUGCCUUUGUGACUGCAAAGCUGGAGUACGGCAGAGGGGGAUGGAAUUCCGCGUGUAGCAGUGAAAUGCGUAGAUAUGCGGAGGAACACCGAUGGCGAAGGCAAUCCCCUGGGCCUGUACUGACGCUCAUGCACGAAAGCGUGGGGAGCAAAC